UACGUAGGGUGCAAGCGUUGUCCGGAAUUAUUGGGCGUAAAGAGCUCGUAGGCGGUUCGUCGCGUCGGCUGUGAAAACCCGGAGCUCAACUCCGGGCCUGCAGUCGAUACGGGCGGACUUGAGUGUUGCAGGGGAGACUGGAAUUCCUGGUGUAGCGGUGAAAUGCGCAGAUAUCAGGAGGAACACCGGUGGCGAAGGCGGGUCUCUGGGCAACUACUGACGCUGAGGCGCGAAAGCUAGGGGAGCGAACAGG
rnacentral:rRNA from 1 species